rnacentral:tRNA from 13 species
CACUAAGAAGCUAAACAGGGCUAUAGCGUCAGCCUUUUAAGCUGAAGAUUGGUGCCCCCCAACCACCCUUAGUGA